CAGAAAGCUGGGUCCCUGUGGGCAGGUGAUGCUCCGUGCCGUCCAGCAGCCACCGCAGCCUGCUUCAGGAGCAGCAUUUUCACUGCUGGCUGCAGCGAGGGCCGAGGUGGGAGGAAUUAAAGGGUUGCUCAAGGAUCCACCGGGCUCUAAGGACUCCCCUGGGGAGGAUAAAAAGGAAUUAAGAAGGACUUUUAUUGAUGAGGAUAUGUUGCUUGUGCACACAAAAGAGCGUAAUUGUAAACUGAGGCACGGCGCUGCUGAAGCCUUAAGCUCCAUUUCCCUCUGGCUGCAGGGGAGCUGUGCAUGUUCAGCACCUCUGGAAGUCAGAGCAGCAAGGACAGGCACAGACCAACCCCAGAACUGCGGCACCAACCAGAGGAACACCAGAAAUCAAUCCCAUCCCACAGGCUAUGCCAGGCUCGUGUCUAUCUGUUGGAAGGCUCCCAGGAUCAGAGCGAUUCCCCACUGUUUAGCAACCCCUGCCUCUGUGUCAGCCCCAUUAGCAGCAGCACUGCUAUCGAUUCUCCUGGUCACAGUGAGGUGGACGUGA
rnacentral:lncRNA from 1 species